AUCAAACACGCACGUAGUCAGGUAAGUACAGUAUUUACGUGAAUUCACUGACGUGUUACUAAAAAUUGAUUAAUAUGCCUAUUCGUUUUUUGUUUGAAUAGUGAAAUGUUUGUGUACAUAGUUCGGGUGCUCAAAUUAAACAUACACUUGAAGCUCAAAUUGUAUGUGGCUUUCCCUGAAAUUAAUCGUUUUAAAACCGCUUAAAAAUGCUCAAAUCUUCGGAGCGACCCCAACCACCAAAAAGAAAACUCCUGCUACACAAUAUCAAGAAACGAAAUUUAAUUCAACAGUGUGCAACAAAAUUGGAAUAAAAAUAUCCAAUAGCUAAUGAUCUAGUCGAAUCUAGUUUUUGAUAGGCUAAGGCACAAACAUAUAUUCUAGUCAUCUGAUUGGCUAAGACAUUCAGGUUUCAGAAUCUGACUGGCGAAUAGCCAUCAACAUAUUGCAUUGUCAUCAAUGAAAAUAGUACUUUGUCACACUUGCUACAAUACUUUUCUUCAAAGAUAUUCACAACAUAAAAUAUUUAUAUUUUUAUCAGAAUUAAAUGUCAAUCACUCCUCUUCAAUAUUGGACUACAGUAUAUGGUGUUGUUGCUUUAACAUCAGCAUAAUUUUAAAUAUGACAUGCAAAUUCCCAAGCACAUUAUUUCUAUGAUGCAUAAUAUUGUAUCAAAAAACAAAGUAAAUAUUCUGCAUAGAUGACAUUAUAAAAUAGAGUACCUGGUCAAAGACGUAGCAUUGUGGUGUACAGGGAAG